ACAGUUAACGAUAAACGGUAGAUGUAGUCACCACGGUAUCUUCAUACCGUCACUACUCUGUUUUAAUACAUGUUAUAGUGGACACCCCUGGGUAUUGGAGUAGCAUAUGAAGAUUAUGGAUUUGGAAAAAACGUCCUGCUGUGUUACGGGGGAUACGGGGUAACGGAUACGUUGGCCCGUCACUGGGCCGACCGGCUGGUGACUCACUCCGAUCUCAAGGGUCUGGCAGUGGGGAAGGUCUAUGCAGUGAAGGGACCUCAGGAUUCCUUGUAUAACGACAAGGAGAUUUCAAACUCCAAGCUGGUACAGCACCUGCUGACGCACCAGAGGCCAGGCUUUGUCGCUGUGGUGGCCCAUUCCAGUGGAGCAUUUGUAGCCAAUGAAUUCUUCAGUCAGCUGGCUGCCAAUGACAUAAACAGACAGUUUGAUCAGAAAAUAUUUUACUACAAUUUGGAUGGCGAUGGAGGACCUUAUGGUAAUGCCCUAUCUAUGUUGAGAAAGGAAUAUUUUGUGUAUGCAAGGAUGGGAUCUGUGUUCUCCAUGAAUGCCAAUUCGAUGAAGUCCCAUGGCCGAGGCAAUCAGCUUAUAGAGCUGGACGGGAGUGAAUCCCACUGUCAGAACAGCCGGUGCCUCCAUGACGUGAUGAUCAUCCACCACCCCUGGAGCCCCACCUACUUCGACGUGGGCCACGACUACAGCCUGUUUGCAUUGGGAGACAGAGAAGUCCAGUCGGCAUACAUUUCCCAUACAGUGUCCCUCCUGUCUGCGAUGAGAGACUGAACUACCCAAGAUACAGCCAAUAAACAACGAUUGAUUACA
rnacentral:misc_RNA from 1 species